rnacentral:rRNA from 1 species
CCUACGGGAGGCAGCAGUGGGGAAUAUUGGACAUUGGGGGGAACCCUGAUCCCGCGACGCCGCGUGAGUGAAGAAGUAUUUCGGUAUGUAAAGCUCUAUCAGCAGGGAAGAAAGAAAUGACGGUACCUGACUAAGAAGCCCCGGCUAACUACGUGCCAGCAGCCGCGGUAAUACGUAGGGGGCAAGCGUUAUCCGGAUUUACUGGGUGUAAAGGGAGCGUAGACGGCGAUGCAAGUCUGAAGUGAAAGGCGGGGGCCCAACCCCUGGACUGCUUUGGAAACUGUAUGGCUGGAGUGCAUGAGAGGUAAGUGGAAUUCCGAGUGUAGCGGUGAAAUGCGUAGAUAUUAGGAGGAACACCAGUGGCGAAGGCGGCUUACUGGACGGUAACUGACGUUGAGGCUCGAAAGCGUGGGGAGCAAACAGGAUUAGAUACCCUUGUAGUC